UACAGGGGGUGCAAACGUUGCUCGGAAUUACUGGGCGUAAAGCGCGCGUAGGCGGCUUUGCAAGUCGGGUGUGAAAUCCCCAGGCUUAACCUGGGAACUGCAUUCGAGACUGCAUUGCUAGAGUAUGGGAGAGGGAAGUGGAAUUUCCGGUGUAGCGGUGAAAUGCGUAGAUAUCGGAAGGAACAUCAGUGGCGAAAGCGACUUCCUGGACCAAUACUGACGCUCAUGUGCGAAAGCGUGGGGAGCAAACAGG
rnacentral:rRNA from 1 species